rnacentral:ncRNA from 17 species
UGGUUUAGCUCAGUGGUAGAGCAUUUGACUUGUAAUCAAAACGCCGGCAGUUCAAUCCUGCCA